GAGCAGAGGGGUGACCGCGGUCACUUUUCGGUCACCCAACAAAAGUUGAACAAAACGUGGUUUUGUAAUUUAGGCAUGAUCCUGAAUCAAGUUUCACUGGAAUUUUUUCGAAAUUUGGCUUGGAUCAUCGAAAUUGCCAGUGCCCAGUCUUGGGCACCCAUCGGGCACCUUUCGGAUACCGAGAGCGGGCAGGGGGUCACUUGCGGUCACGUAACAAAAUUUAAACUAAGGGUGGUUUUGCAUUUCAGGCAUGAUCCUGAUUCAUGUUUCAUUGGAAUUUUUUUGAAAUUUGGCUCGGAUCACCGAAAUUGCCAGUGCCCAGUCUUGGGCACCCAUCGGGCACCUUUCGGAUACCGAGAGCGGGCAGGGGGGUCACUUGCGGUUACCUAAAAUAUAUUAAACAAAGGGUUGUUUUGCGUUUAAAACGUGACCCUGAAGCAUUUUUCAUUGGAAUUUUUUUAAAUUUAGCUUUGACCAUCUCAAAAUGGCAGUGCCCAGUGUUGGGCACUCAUCGGGCACCUUUCGGGUACUCGGAGCGGGCAGGGGGUUAACCAUGGUCACUUGCGGUCACAUAAAAAAAUUUAAACAAAGGGUGGUUUUGCAUGCAAGGCAUGACCCUGAACCUGGUUUGAUUGGAUUUUUUUUAUUUUUGGCUUGGACCACCUCAAUUUGCCAGUGCCCAGCCGUGGGCACCCAAAGGGCACCUUUCGGGUAGCUCGGAUCGGAUAACUGCGGUGUGACCGGUGUAUGGAAUUUUUGGGUUAAUUUUUGGGCAAAGAAAAAAAAUGUUAUUUAAUAAGUAAAAAUAAAAAUUUUGAUGCAUUUUAAAAUAACCACUCGAGGGUUACCUUUUGGCCACCCAAUGGUUAACCGAAGCGUGGGCACUAUAUUUCUUACACUAGUUUUUACUCUAAAAUUUUGUCAGAAUUUUUUCAGUCCAGAUUUUAAUUUAUCUAGUAUAAUUACACAAGUAAAUUAAAAUAUUAACUUUGAUAACCAAAACGGGUUACCCAAUGGUUAACCAAUGGGCAACCUCAAAAUCACAAUUAAUUAUUUAGUCCGUGUUUCGUUAUUAAUUAUUUAUUAAAAAUUUUUUGACUUGUAAUACUCUAAUUAGCAUUUUAAACUCUUUUAAUUUACUCGUUUUGAGUACUUCCGUGCUCAGGCAGCAUAAUAUAUCGCGCGCGUUUUCUUGGCUACACUGGUUGACCGCAAGUGUGGCGCCACUGUCGGCAGCGGCUAGCAGCAACAGCUGCCGCUUUGCUCGCAUGCUCGCUGACUGACUGUUUGUGUUUGAACUUGGGACGGUUGAGGAUUGCAUCAUCAUUGUCGGCAGAGAUUUUCUCAGUGUUUUUGGUCAUUUUUCGACAAAUGGACUACUACAACGGAUCCUUGGAAGGACGAUGGAUGUUUUACAAGGCUUGCACCGCGUCCCGCCCUGAUCUUCUGUUUUGAUGUCCUGGUCGGGAAUAGCUGCCUGUACGCGAUGGCCAUCCGGAUUUCAAGCCUGGACAACUAAACAAAACUUCUCCCGUCUCCGGUGUAUCCAGGGUUAUCAUCUGCUGUUUUGUUUCCAUUUUCAACUGACAAUGAGUGCCGACAGUACAUAAAUGGGACUGGACUCAGGAGACGAAAAGCAACAUGACAAGAUACAUAGUAUAGUGCUGCUGGACGAUGACAUGAGUGUUGGGAGAUAAAGUGGUAAUUCUGUGUGUGUUCCAUGGUUAUUUUUUGUGUUAAAUUUUGUGUAUGUCUUCAAAAUUAAUUUUGACUCAAAAUUUCAAUAUAUUAUUCAUUUUUUGUACUAAUGUUUGCAACAGUUGAAUUCCUAAACAGAUUUAUGUGAAUAGUAUACAGUAUGUUUGCGGCAUAUUUUAAAUUAAAGCAAUUUUCUAGACAGUUAAUUGUGGCAACUAAAAUUUUUAAUCUAUUACUUUGACAAUUAUCAUAGGCUUAAAAUCAACCAUCUCAAAUGCCUUAAGUAUCUUAAGUCAAUUACAGCUGAUGGUGCCAUUGUAUAAUUCCUAUUUUAAUUCCUUUAAGGAAUUAAUCUUGCUGCAGUGCAUUAUGGACUAAAAAUAAUUCAUUUUACUGUGCUGGAAACAGUGGAAACCAAAAUAAGUUCAGCAAAUCACCGUUCAAUUUUUAUAAUUAUUUGUUCUGUUGCUGCAUUGCCUACAUAUACAUAAUCAAUGUGAUAAUUUUAACUAUUAGUCUCAUUUUUGUACUGUGCAGUUCUCCGCGGUCUAUUGUACGCUAUUUUUUGGGGUUGAAAAUUGUUAUUUUCAUUUGUAUAUUAUAUUAUAUUAUUUGCUUAUUCUGUUAAUGAAAGGUGCAAUGUAACUUGACUGCAUUUAGGUAUCACCUUGGAAUUUUCACAGCCAAACCUAGUUUUUUAUUCUGAACAACUUUUAACUUUAUAAAACUUGCAAGUCUUUCUCGACCUUUUUUUGGAAAAUUCAAUAUUAGUGGAUGUUAGUCCCCAUUGAUAUUUUUUCAGGAUUCAAGACUAAAUUGUAUCCCGUGAAUAUCUGCACAAGCACACCAGGUUUCAGAGGUGCAACAAUAGUUUUGCCAGUUUUGCUUUAAUUUGAAUUUGAAAAUUCAUA